rnacentral:rRNA from 1 species
GACGAACGCUGGCGGCGUGCUUAACACAUGCAAGUCGAACGGAAAGGCCCUGCUUUUGUGGGGUGCUCGAGUGGCGAACGGGUGAGUAACACGUGAGUAACCUGCCCUUGACUUUGGGAUAACUUCAGGAAACUGGGGCUAAUACCGGAUAGGAGCUCCUGCUGCAUGGUGGGGGUUGGAAAGUUUCGGCGGUUGGGGAUGGACUCGCGGCUUAUCAGCUUGUUGGUGGGGUAGUGGCUUACCAAGGCUUUGACGGGUAGCCGGCCUGAGAGGGUGACCGGCAACAUUGGGACUGAGAGACGGCCCAGACUCCUACGGGAGGAAGCAGGGGGGAAUAUUGAAAAAGGGGCGGAAGCCGGAUGCAGCAACGCCGCGUGCGGGAUGACGGCCUUCGGGUUGUAAACCGCUUUCGCCGGUGAAGAAGCGUGAGUGACGGUAAUGGGUAAAGAAGCACCGGAUAACUACGUG